CGCCUACGGGGCGCAGCAGUAGGGAAUUUUCGUCAAUGGGCGCAAGCCUGAACGAGCAAUGCCGCGUGAACGAGGAAGGUCUUCGGAUCGUAAAGUUCUGUUGAAGGGGAAAAAGAGCGGAGAGUGGAAAUGGUCUCCGAUUGAUAUUACCCUUCGAGGAAGUCACGGCUAACUACGUGCCAGCAGCCGCGGUAAUACGUAGGAUGCGAGCGUUAUCCGGAUUUAUUGGGUUUAAAGGGUGCGCAGGCGGCGAGUUAAGUCAGCGGUAAAAUUUCGGGGCUCAACCCCGACGAGCCGUUGAAACU
rnacentral:rRNA from 1 species